UACGGGGGGGGCAAGCGUUGUUCGGAAUUACUGGGCGUAAAGGGCUCGUAGGCGGCCAACUAAGUCAGACGUGAAAUCCCCAGGCUCAACCUGGGAACUGCGUCUGAUACUGGAUGGCUUGAAUCCGGGAGAGGGAUGCAGAAUUCCAGGUGUAGCGGUGAAAUGCGUAGAUAUCAGGAGGAACACCCGUGGCGAAGGCGACUUUCUAUCUCGAAUCUGACGCUGAGGCGCGAAAGCUAGGGGAGCAAACGGG
rnacentral:rRNA from 1 species